GAUGAGAACGUAGCGAAAUGCGAUAAGUAAUGUGAAUUGCAGAAUUCAGUGAAUCAUCGAAUCUUUGAACGCACAUUGCGCCCGCCAGUAUUCUGGCGGGCAUGCCUGUUCGAGCGUCAUUUCAACCAUCAAGCCCCAGGCUUGUGUUGGGGACCUGCGGCUGCCGCAGGCCCUGAAAACCAGUGGCGGGCUCGCUGUCACACCGGGCGUAGUAGAUUUUAUCUCGCUCAGGGCGUGCUGCGGGUUCCGGCCGUUAAAAAGCCUUUUUUACCCAAGGUUGACCUCGGAUCAGGUAGGAAGACCCGCUGAACUUAAGCAUAUCAAUAAGCGGAGGA
rnacentral:misc_RNA from 1 species